AUUUCUACUGAGUUACUCUGGUUUUUAGUCAAUCAGGUGCAAAUACUUUUCACCCAUUAACGUUAAAAACAGGGAAAGUAGACUAAUAUUUUCUCUAUAUUAGUGAAAAUAAAAGUUUUGCUCCCAUUUACAUUUUUUUAUUCUCUCCUCUUUCAACUAUUUUAUCCCUUUCAUUUACUUUAUUAUUUACUAAUCAAAACCUAUGACUCGGAUUGAAAAGCACAUCCAGCAAAAAAUAAUUUUGAGUAAAAUUGUAUUAAGUUGACUUUCUCUGAUUCUUGGCCAAUCAGAUAGAAAUACUUUUCAUCCGUUAAUGCUAAAUAGAGGGAAAGUAGACUAAUAGGUUAUUCUACAUAUUAGUGGAAAAAAAAGUUUUACUCCCAUUUACACUUAUUUUUUUCUUCUCUUUCGACUUUUUUUAAUCAUUCCACUUUACUCUAUUAUUUACCAAUCAAACCCUAUGGCUAUGAUUGAAAAGUGUAUCUAGUGAUAAUAAGUUGGAGUAAAAUUGUUUUCUGCUGUUUUAUUCUGAUUUUUAGGCAGUCAGGUGAAAAUACUUGUCGCUCAUUAACGCUAAAAAGAGGAAAAGUAAACUAAUAUAGUACUCUCUAUAUUAGUUGAAAUAAAAGUUAUACUCUCAUUUUCACUUUUUUAUUUUCUCCACUUUCAACUUUUUUAUCUUUCCCUCUUACACUAUUAUUUACCAAUCAAACCCAAUGACUCUGAUUGAAAAGCACAUCCAGCGAUUUGAAUUUUGAGUAAAAUUGUUUUUAUUGAGUUACUCUGAUUUUUAGCUAAUCAGGUGAAAAUACUUUUCACUCAUUAACGCUAUAAAAGAAGAAAAAUAGACUAAUAUAUUAUUCUCUAUAUUAGUGGAAAGAAAGUUUUACUCACAUUUUUACGUUUUUAUUUUUCCUUUUUUAUCUCUCUCUUUUACUCUAUUAUUUACUAAUCAAAUCCUAUGACUGCUUGAAAAACACAUCAAGUGAUAAUAAUUUGGAGUAAAAUUGUUUUCUGUGAGUUAUUUUGAUUUUUAGCCAAUUAGGUGGAAAUAUUUUUCAACCAUUAACGCUAAAAAAAAGGUAAAGUAGACUAAUAUGUUACUCUCUGUAUUAGUGGACGUAAAAGUUGUAUUCCCAUUUUCACUUUUUUAUUUUCUCAUCUUUUAACUUUUUUUA
rnacentral:lncRNA from 1 species